rnacentral:rRNA from 2 species
UGGGUAUUGGGGACGGUCCGCCGUCCUCAUGACACUUGAACACCCACAGGCGAAGACAACUCGAAAGUUAUCACGGGAUUACGGGUUCGGCCGAUGGCGCAAGCCUUCGUCGGGCCCCUCCAUCCCAGGGUGUCCCGGUACGGGUGCUUGCACCCAGCGGACAUCCCCGGAGUGCGUAGGAUGUGACCCGAAAGAUGGUGAACUAUGCCUGAUCAGGUCGAAGUCAGGGGAAACCCUGAUGGAGGACCGAAGCAAUUCUGACGUGCAAAUCGAUUGUCAGAGUUGGGCAUAGGGGCGAAAGACCAAUC